UACAGAGCUUGGUAUAGUAUCUACAGAAAUUAUUUUCCCUAGUAAUUCAGACUUGACAACAACAACUAGAGAGCCUCCAGACACGGGCGUGGUCUCUACAGCAGUGAUGCUCCCUGGUAGGCGAUCAACUUACUUUAGUGAUCCAGACAUGACAACAGCUGCUAAAAGAAAUCCAGAUACGGGCAGUUUGCUCUCUACAGCAGUGAUGUUACCAGGUAUUUAUAGGCGGUUAAUAUUUACUAAAUGUUCUAGUAUUGUUUAAUUGUAUAACUAUCUAUUUAAUGCAUGAAUCUUGUUCAUGUUUAAUAUAUAUUCACUUCGUAGCAUUGACGAUGUUAAAUUGAUCGCUGAUUAAAAGUUUAUGAAACUAAAAAUGCACAGAAAAUUCACACACACACACACACACACACACACACACACACACACACACACACACACACAUACAUACAUACAUACAUAUAUAUAUAUAUAUAUAUACAAACGGAGAUAUUUAUGACUUGUUGUAAACAGAUUCAUGACUAAAAUUUUGAUUAUUUAUAUUGCAACCAUUUUCGCAAUGAUACAUUCAAUGUUGUUAAAUGAACCUGAUCAAAAGAAAUGGUAACGAUAUCGAAGAAUAUGUCAUAACAAUGAAUAACAAACCAAUUAUAUUACACGUGAACAUCAUAUUGUUGCGGUAUUAAGAAUAUCUUAAAACUUGUGUCACUAGAGUUGACAAAUCUGUUCUUUGUUACUACAGGUAUCAGUACAAUGAUAUCGAUAUCAGCAAGUUUAUAUAUAUUUUUGAUACAGAGAAAAUGGAUUUUUGUAAUUGUUGAUUAAUCUAAUUUUUUGACGACAUCAUCAUGAUACCAACAACAUUGACCUGAUACAAUGUUUUUGGAUAUAUAAAUGUACGAAUAAACAUAUAAAAAGCCAGGCUAGGAUAAAAAGACUACGAUAAUGAUGCGUGUAUUAGAGUUUUGAAAUAAAAUGUGGUACCAUUCAUCUACUGCUCCCUGCCAAACAAAGUGAGAUUUAUCUCCCUGUAGUCAACACGGGUAAGUAUCUGUUAUCACUACAAUUUAUAUAAUCGAUUCCCUUUAUAGCUGAGCAUACAAUUCAUAUAUAGUUCGUGUUCACUUGGUAUACGUGCUCAUGUCUGAUUUAUACACGAUUUUGUGGAUGUCCAUAUUGCAGGUAUGGAAGAUAUUACUUCAGCAGGAUUGAUACAAUGCUACAUCAGGUUUCUGGUACUGUUACAAUAAUGUUGUAGCAGCAAGCUUCUUCGUCAAAGGCUGGCACACCCAAUAUCUAUAGGCCUUUUAACGCCCCCUUUUCUGACUUUUUCCAACUUGUACAUAUGUUUGGGUCUAUUUUUUAUAUGCCAAAUAUACCAUAAUUUGUCACUAGUCAUGAUAUGUCAGAUGACACAUAUUUUGUUCUCAGGUGCUAAUUUUGAGAUGUGACAAUUUGUCAUUAUACAUUGUCUGUACAUUUUACUUGUAUGUAACUUUUACUUAUAUUUGAAUCCUAGUUUGUGUUCCCUUUACUGUCAUUUAUUGUAUAUGUAAUAAAUGACCUAUUCUAUUCUUUAAAAGGUGUGAUGUUUUUUUAUUUAAUACAGGCAGACAGGUAUAAAGACAAAUCGAUAUGGUACAAUGUUUUGGACAUACACGGGGAUCCAGGGGGGGGGACAAUGCGGUUUAAAUGAGUAUUGAUAACAAAACUUGGUGGAAAGUGAGAGAGCGAGGUGUUGUGGGAUGAUUUUGUUGUCAACACUUGUGUGAGUAACACUGAGCUUAAGGUAUUCAUUACAGACGGUUUGUAUUCAUAUUGAUGGACGACAUCGGAAGACAUUUGAUACUAUGCCUCGUUCACACGAAGAAUUUAAUUACAUUUAAUGCGAAUUGAUUCUGAACCGCGUUCACACGGAGAUUGUAAUGCGCAUUAGUUUGCUUCGAAUUAAAGUUUACGUCGCGAUUUAAUGCGAAUUAAAACUUGGCAUUAGCUCCGUGUGAACGCAAAGCGAAACUAAUUUGCAUUAAAUGUACUCGCAUGCAUAAUAGCAAAUUUGGGUCCCAUGCCUCAUACCCGUGGUCAGCUAUAUAUAUUAAUGUUAGAUUUGUGCGAAAAACUAAUCAAAAUGAUAAUAAUCACUAAAAAAAAAACAUGUACAAACAUGCAGCAUGUCAUUAGAUAAUGUCAGACGUAAAUAUGUGCUCUGCAUAGUCAUACUGAGUAAUAAAUAUGGAAACAAUUGCUUUUAGAUAAGACAAAAUCGUUUUACAAUAAUGAUCAUAUGAUUUUCUUUUUUUUACAUUUUAACAAAUAUGCCUCUCAUUGUUAAAUUCUUUUCAUACUAUAUUCUCCUUCAAUGUAGAAAUCAAAAAUACACUUCCCAAAACAUUGACAUUACUUUAAAUCUCAGGUGUGAAGUAGUAUGUUUACACCAAUGGGAUGAGUAUUGAACCAGUAAAUACUUAGUUGUAGCAUCCUGUGCAGUUGUGCUCAAAAGCUCAGGAGCUAACUUCCUUAAGUUAAAAUUCAUAACUUUGACACAGCGUCUGGAUCCAUGACCCCGAGGUUCCCGAUUCGCAUAGUGUAGUGAAGUGUCCUGUACUUCGUGCUAAAUGGAAUGCAUUAAAUGUACAUGGUUGGUUGUAUAUUGUUUAACGUCCCUCUCGAGAAUCUUUCACUCAUAUGGAGACGUCACUAUUGCCGGUGAAGGGCCGCAAAAUUUAUGUCUAUGCUCGGCGCUUACAACCUUUGAACAGGGAGGGAUCUUUAUCGUGCCACAUCUGUUGUGACACGGGAUCUCGGGUUCUGCGGUCUCAUCCAAAGGACCGCCUCAUUUAGCUGCCUCUUACGAUAAGCAAGGGGUACUGAGGACCUAUUCUAACCGAGAUAUCCACGGGACUAAAUAAUCAUAGGAAUAGGAAACAAAAUGGUGUAGUAUAAAGUCAGGUAAUGGAAACGUCAUUUCCUGAGUGACACAUUGAUGGAGAUAACUACUACAUGGAUUACAUUUACUAUCACUGUGUGUCCAGGUAGAUAACAGAAAAGAAAUCGAUAUUCCAACAUCAAUAGGCUGAAAAUAGGAGCCAGUAACCAGCGGCCAAUCAGAAGCUAGCAACCUACAGCUGUAUAAUAAAAUCCAUCAGAUCAAUUACUGACAGAAUACUAAAAAUCAUCGAUCCAAAUUGAUAAUAUUUCAAACAAUUGAUAGAUUUAUUGAGCUCACCCGAAAGUUCCUAAUGUUACAUCCCAUAGGGUCGUAAUAAAGGUAAUGACAACUUCAUCUUUGUAGAAUUCACGACAGAAGUAUGGACACCUAGUAGGGUACUCUUUGGACUAUCAUUUCCUGCCCUCAGUUUGGGGCUAUAGGGGUGUCACGUGGGUGGAAUCACUUUUCAGACCUCCGUAAUGAUUUGAUGGCAUGCUUAAGAGAUAGACAACAAUGUAUACGAACCCAUGAUUGAAAGAUUGUCAAUUUUGAUCGAUUAUUUCAUAAGUUUUAGCAUUCUGUCUGAGUACUCUCAGUUCUUUGAUGAAUUUUGUUAUUGGUUGCUAGCUUCUACGGGCUAUUUGGUUGCUGGUAGUAGCUGCUAGUUUCAGCUUAGUUCCAACCAGUUUACUAAGCCCGUCAUCCCAUUUAGCAUAAUUGCCGUGGUUGCUUUAUUCUACCAUUUGGUUUAAUAUGUCAAAGUAUAAGACAAUCCUCACACUGCUGCUGUAAUCACUACCGGGAUAUUUUCGACCCCGGUGCCACGUCAAACUCAUGUCACGGUAGACAUUAGCACAGUAAUAAACUCUUACUGCUAGGAUAAUACGGCGCCAUUUCACUCAUGUCACGGUAGACAUUAGCACAGUAAUAAACUCUUACUGCUAGGAUAAUACGGCGCCAUUUCACUCAUGUCACGGUAGACAUUAGCACAGUAAUAAACUCUUACUGCUAGGAUAAUACGGCGCCACAUCAACCUUAUGUCACGGUACACAUUAGCACAGUAAUAAACUUAAACUCUCUCUCUCUCUCUCUCUCUCUCUCUCUCUCUCUCUCUCUCUCUCUCUCUCUCUCUCUCUCUCUCUCUCUCUCUCUGACAGACCGACCGACCGACCGACAGGUGCGAAGGAAUAUGCCCCUCUUCUUUGAACGGGUAUAUCAAUUCGUCAUAUGAUUAUGAAAAGUAUUGUAUUCUUAUUGUUAUGUUUUUGUCAGAAAUUUAAUACCUCCCCUGAUUGAAGACAUCCUCAUUGGCACAGGUGAAGUGUGCCGCAGUCUGUACAAUGGAAUGACAACGUCUGGUUCUGUCGAGAUACAAAUGGAGUUUAUCAUUUUGUUUCGUGGGCUUAAAUCAGAAUAAAGAGAAUCUAACAUUUUCGGACGAUGUGCAUUGAACUGUUUUGUAAUACAGAGAAUAGACUAUUGUUGAAAAGAUCAGCCCCACUGAAGGGACCUGGUUUCUGGUUGUACUACUGGUUUGUAUGGGACAUACGAAGCGCCACCUGGGGACACGGCAUUGGACGUCAUAGUGUGGAGGAAGCGAUAUCGAGACUCAAUCAAACUUUCUGUGUAGGUGAUAUCUAGCUGCAAAAUUGUAGCUCUCUGAAAAAAUAUUGUGACGGAACAGAGAGCUACAGAUCCAACCCUUAUAAAAACCUUCGAUUUACGGCGCGUAAAAAGCUGCGCACGGUUGAGGUAUGAUAUCGUUGUAUUCUUGUGUUGCUGUCUCAUAAACCUAAUAUAAAAGAAUUCAUAGCAUAUUUUCCUACUAUACUUGUGUCCAAACAUACCUUGAACUAUUCAUUAAAGCCCCAUACGAUCCGAAAACUUACAGCUUCAAGUGAUUUCGUUUGUUGACGUAGCCAUGUUAGGUAGCCCGGUCAAUUCGAACCCUGUUGCUGUUGGUACAUGUAUCUCUUCAUAAAAUUCGUUAUAAGUUGUGUAUUCGCUCUUCAUUUAUCAUCAACACGAAUAAUUAAUAGAAAUUAAAAAAAAAUAUAGUUUUUCUAAAGGUAAAAUAAGUCGAAUAUGGUCCUUAACACUCAUGGGCAGGGAUGGAGACCGAACCAGACUAAUGAAAGCCACAUUGUCGUGAAUUUAGCUAUUUAAAUGAAUAUUAUUUAAAGGAACUGAGAUGAUAUAUUAUCUAAAAUAUAUAGCUAAAAUAUUUGUGCGGAUAUUAGUUCACACCUAGACGUAAUUGUGCAAGUAUGGAAAUUAAUCGGGAUUCGAAUUGACCGGCCACCUAAUAUGUCUACGUCAACAAACGAAAUCAUUUGAAGUUAAUUUAAGUUUAUACUUCCAAGCAUAGGGGCUUGCUCCCAUUAAAAAUGUAGACAAACAAUACUAUAUUUACAACGUAGUAUUGUUUACAAUUCUUAACGGGAGUAAACACCUGUUUUCAAAGUGCAUACAUCAGAAAACAUUGAAAAUUGUGCGACAGUUUGAAAUAUUCAGGUAAAUAACCACCUGACCAGACAAGAGGUCAUGGUACUAGAAACGCUCACCCAAGGAAUUUUACACAAUUUGCAUGUAUGAGUUUAUAUGCAAUCUUUGGAAAGUAGGUCAAGGCAAGUUCAAGGCCAUAUAUUUUGCUUGCUUCACGUUCCUUUCAAAAUAUUUCAUACAUUUUGAGACGUCACCAGCUGUAAGUGAAGUGUCACAAAUUCUGACCAAUAGCACUAAGGACUGUAGCAGUGAUGAAUUCUUUAACAUGCCAACACCUGCCGCGACAUGGGCCCUCCAUUUUAAGAAUUUCACAUCUAAAAGCCAAGGAUUUGGUGAAGGAGCAAAAAAGAAACUCAGGAGCUACAAUUAAGGCUUCACGAUUUCCACUUCUAUUGUUCGAGACUUAACCUAUGUGAACAAUGAAACUCAGAGCACCAUUCCAACCUUGUCAGUUACUCGCCAGAGAAUGAAGGUAACUUAAUGGCCAGAGAGGAAGAAACCCUGACUACAUCCAGUGACAAAUUCACAAACGAUCUCGGCAAAUUAUACUUCACAGAAAAUAUUCCUCAAUGAUAUAUACCAAUAAAAUAACUGGAAUGUAACAUUGCCCCAUAAAACAAACCCUUCAAUCUCUGUGCAUAAUUUUGAUAAAGAAAAUGUUUUCUGCAAGUGGAAAUUUGUGAGUUUUAAUUGUUACAGCAAAAUUAAUCAAACAUAUAUAUUUAUAUGUAUGACGGAUGACAAAACAAAUAUAAUCGAGGUGCCUUUUAGCAAGCAUUCAAGGCAACAUUGUUCCUACUUUACAGAAGAGAUGAUAACUGAUAGCUAGCAUAUUGUAUCUAACUGUUUAUUUCAAGAAAUUUAAGACAUGAAAGAAAAUGGCUACAUUAAAGAGGCAUUGAAUUCUACUGACAGAUAAACACUGUGUGUUUGAGAAUGUAAGAUGCUGCUGAGAUUAACACUGUGUACUCCACUACUACUUCAGAAUGAAAGAUAAUGCUGAGUACGGAUGAUAAUUUGUCCUCUUUUUCAUCAUCAGAUC